CUGGGAUUAGAUACCCUGUUAUUUAAAAUGUAAAUUAUUUAUUAAGGUAGUAAUAGUUAUGUUCUUGAAACUUAAAAAAUUUGGCGGUAUUUUAGUCUAUUCAGAGGAACCUGUUCUGUAAUUGAUAUUCCACGUUGGACCUUACUUAAAUUUGUUUACAAUUUAUAUACCGUUGUUAUUAAAAUAUUUUUAAAAAAAGAUAAUAUUUAAUUUUUUGGAUAAAAAUUUAUAUCAAAUCAAGGUGUAGUUUAUGUUUAAGUAGAAAUGGGUUACAAUAAAAUUAUUUUAUGGAUAUAAAUAUGAAAAGUUUAUUAAAAUUGGAUUUGAUAGUAAAGUUAUAAAGAUUAAUAAUUUGAUUUUAGCUCUAAAAUAUGUACAAAUCGCCCGUCACUCUCUG
rnacentral:rRNA from 1 species